rnacentral:rRNA from 1 species
CCUACGGGAGGCUGCAGUGAGGAAUAUUGGUCAAUGGACGAGAGUCUGAACCAGCCAAGUAGCGUGAAGGAUGACUGCCCUAUGGGUUGUAAACUUCUUUUAUAUGGGAAUAAAACGUUCCACGUGUGGGAUUUUGUAUGUACCAUAUGAAUAAGGAUCGGCUAACUCCGUGCCAGCAGCCGCGGUAAUACGGAGGAUCCGAGCGUUAUCCGGAUUUAUUGGGUUUAAAGGGAGCGUAGGUGGAUUGUUAAGUCAGUUGUGAAAGUUUGCGGCUCAACCGUAAAAUUGCAGUUGAAACUGGCAGUCUUGAGGACAGUAGAGGUGGGCGGAAUUCGUGGUGUAGCGGUGAAAUGCUUAGAUAUCACGAAGAACUCCGAUUGCGAAGGCAGUUCACUGGACUGCAACUGACACUGAGGCUCGAAAGUGUGGGUAUCAAACAGGAUUAGAUACCCCUGUAGUC